CAGUAGCCGCGGUAAUACGAAGGGUGCAAGCGUUAAUCGGAAUUACUGGGCGUAAAGCGUGCGUAGGCGGUGAGUUAAGUCAGAUGUGAAAUCCCCGAGCUUAACUUGGGAACUGCAUUUGAAACUGGCAAGCUAGAGUCUUGUAGAGGGGGGUAGAAUUCCAGGUGUAGCGGUGAAAUGCGUAGAGAUCUGGAGGAAUACCGGUGGCGAAGGCGGCCCCCUGGACAAAGACUGACGCUCAGGUGCGAAAGCGUGGGGAGCAAACAGGAUUAGAUACCCGUGUAGUCCCUGUCUCUUAUAC
rnacentral:rRNA from 1 species